AUGGCCUCUUCCCUGGCCGCCAUGCCCCACGACUCCGCGCCAUGGAGGGACCCCUCCACCUCCACCUCCACCUCCAGGCACAGGCGCUUCUUCAACGUCAACGUCCUCAUACCGCCGCCGCGCCACUCCUUCUCCGAGGCCGCCGCCACCGCGCCCGCCGAGCCCACGCCCAGGCGCAAGCGGAUUAUAUUGGAGCGCUGGGCGGCCGCCGCUGCCGCCGCCACGGCCUCCGAGCCGCCGCCUCCCGCCGAUGCGCGCCGCCGCGACAGGGAGGCCGAGCUGUCCGCGCUCGCCUCGGCCACCCGCCCCGUCGCCGCCCGCGCCGCCGUCUUCCGUGAGCCCUCGCCUGCGCCGUCCGACGCCUCCUCCACGACCACUGCCGGCCCGGACCUGCCGCCGUCGGGCCCGCGGGCGUCCUCGCUCAUCCAGCGCUGGCGCGAGAUCGAGGCCGUGGGGCCCGUCACGCCCCGCGCCUCGGGCGACGUCACCUCUGAAUCCGAUGGCUCGCCACGCGGCCGCGUCGGAUGCAUCGUCAAGAAGCUCAGCGGGGCUGCCUCGCUGCCGGAGGAGGACCUGGAGGCCGCCAAUAACGAGCUCGCGCUCUCGCAGUCCGCGCCCCCGUCGCCGACCCAGCUGCGCAACGCAGUCGAGUCGCUCGCCGUUCAUAUCAAGGGCACUCGGCCGCCCAAGCUGGUGGUCAGGACGGUACGCGGGCGCCGCGCAGUGGAGGAGCUUGUCGCUCGGAUGGCACAUCGUCGCAGGCGAGAGCUCGCCGCGCUCGCGGAGCGACACGCCGUCUCUCGCUUCGGGCACAAAGGCAGGAUCCAGUCCAUGCUUCGUCUAAAGCUAUUGCGUCAUGGAGACGCAAUUAACGAUGAAGUGUGGAAUCUACUAAGACCUGUUAGGCCACACCCACCAAAAUGCAGACCUGAGGCAUUGAGAGAUGAUAGCAGCAAGACAGAUUCACAAGAUGCAAAUGAAUGCAGUCCGCAAAAUAAUAGGGCUGAUGAACAACAUAGUGAUGAUAGAAAUCCAUCUGCGGAGAAGUCUACCGGGCUAGCGAUUGAGAGCCUUGUUAACUCCCACGGUUCAGGAAAUCGACAAUAUGAUGAGAAGAUAGACACAAAGGGCAAUCAAUAUGAUGAGAAGAUAGACACAAAGGGAAGACAAGAAAGUUCUAAAGCUUCAAGCUUUGCAAGGUACGGUGAUCAUCGUGUUGUCUACGAUAAUCAAUAUAUGGAUGAUAUCUCCCCAAGUACUAUAAGCACAUCGUGUGAACUUCAAGAAACUCCUUCAUCAAGAGGUGAAACUUUACGAGAAGAAGACAACCAAAGUCUGAAUGGUUCUUGGGACGAGAGAGCACUAUGGAUGAGCAGUCUUGGUUGGCCCGCACCAGUAGAUUCCAUGAGUCCGGACAGCUGGCAUCAGGGUGCAAUUGGGGAUAUGGAGAACCAUAAUCAGAUUGAAUUUAAUGAUCGGCCUUGGAUAGACUCCCCUAACUCAUGGAGAUCAUUGCAUAUUGCCACACAAGCAGACAGUCGAGAUUUGUCUGGCAAUGCUGAUAUUUGUAAUCUUCUUGAGAGCAAAAAGGUCUCAAAUUCCCUUGAGAGUGAUUUUAGCAAUAAAAUGAACCAUCUCCUGAGAGCAAUUCUGCAGAAGCAAAGACAAGAACACAUGAUUGAUGAAUUUGGGGGUUACUAUCCAGAACACUUAUACUGGCAACAGAAUGAUGAACCCCGGAAUGAAGAUCAGGUGGCAUCUGCACCGUGUUCAUUAGCACCUGUCUCCCAUGUCACAGCCCACCACCAAGACAAUUGGCAGCACUCAUCAUUAGAACAACAACAACAUGAAAAUCAAAAUUUGCUUGAAAUGGAGGUCAGGGUAAGAAGUGAAAUGGCCCAGAUUCAUCAUGAAAUAUAUGAACUACGUAAGUUGGCAGAAACUUGUAUUGCAUCCCAAGUAAAGAUGCAGCAUUCCAUUAAAGAAGAGGUGUGCAGCGCACUUCGCGAAGCUGGGUUGAUGCCAAGCCAGCCUGACAUAACAGCAAAAAAGGGCACGUGCUGCAUCUGCCAUGAGAUGCAAGUUGACUCUUUACUUUACAGGUGUGGCCAUAUGUGCACCUGCUUCAACUGUGCUGAUCAGCUGAAAUCGAGCAGCGAGAGUUGCCCAAUCUGUCAAUCUCCUAUCGACGAUGUUGUUCGGGCUCACCUGAAUUUUUGA
rnacentral:rRNA from 1 species